UACGUAGGGUGCAAGCGUUGUCCGGAAUUAUUGGGCGUAAAGAGCUCGUAGGCGGUCUGUCGCGUCGGCUGUGAAAUCCUGAGGCUCAACCUCGGGUCUGCAGUCGAUACGGGCAAACUAGAGUAUUGCAGGGGAGACUGGAAUUCCUGGUGUAGCGGUGAAAUGCGCAGAUAUCAGGAGGAACACCGAUGGCGAAGGCAGGUCUCUGGGCAUUAACUGACGCUGAGGAGCGAAAGCAUGGGGAGCGAACAGG
rnacentral:rRNA from 1 species